UACAGAGGUCCCAAGCGUUGUUCGGAUUCACUGGGCGUAAAGGGUGCGUAGGCGGUCGGGUAAGUCUGAUGUGAAAUCUCGAAGCCUAACUUCGAAACUGCAUUGGAUACUAUUCGGCUAGAGGAAUGGAGGGGAGACUGGAAUGCUCGGUGUGGCAGUGAAAUGCGUAGAUAUCGAGCGGAACACCAGUGGCGAAGGCGAGUCUCUGGACAUUUCCUGACGCUGAGGCACGAAAGCCAGGGGAGCAAACGGG
rnacentral:rRNA from 1 species